CUAAGCGUACACGGUGGAUGCCCUGGCAGUCAGAGGCGAUGAAGGACGUGCUAAUCUGCGAAAAGCGCCGGCGAGGUGAUAUGAACCCUUGACCCGGCGAUGUCCGAAUGGGGAAACCCAGUGUGUUUCGACACACUAUCGUUAACUGAAUACAUAGGUUAACGAGGCGAACCGGGGGAACUGAAACAUCUAAGUACCCCGAGGAAAAGAAAUCA
rnacentral:rRNA from 1 species